rnacentral:rRNA from 1 species
GACGAACGCUGGCGGCGUGCUUAACACAUGCAAGUCGAACGGAAAGGCCCUGCUUUUGUGGGGUGCUCGAGUGGCGAACGGGUGAGUAACACGUGAGUAACCUGCCCUUGACUUUGGGAUAACUUCAGGAAACUGGGGCUAAUACCGGAUAGGAGCUCCUGCUGCAUGGUGGGGGUUGGAAAGUUUCGGCGGUUGGGGAUGGACUCGCGGCUUAUCAGCUUGUUGGUGGGGUAGUGGCUUACCAAGGCUUUGACGGGUAGCCGGCCUGAGAGGGUGACCGGCCACAGUGGGAAUGGAAUACGGCCCAGACUCCUACGGGAGGCAGCAGUGGGGAAGAUUGCACAAUGGGCGGAAGCCUGAUGCAGCAACGCCGCGUGCGGGAUGACGGCCUUCGGGUUGGAAACCGCUUUCGCCUGUGACGAAGCGUGAGUGACGGUAAUGGGUAAAGAAGCACCGGCUAACUACGUG